rnacentral:tRNA from 1 species
AGGUAUAUAGCUCAAUGGUAGAGCACGUGCUUGGCAUGCACAAGGUCCUGAGUUCAAUCCCUGGUGUCUCUG